UUUUAUGUUCCCAUGGCUUACAUCUGGCAUUUAUGUGAAUUAAAUUCACAAGUUUUCCUCUAAUGCGAUGGUGAUGAAUGAUGUUUGUCAAACUGCACUUUAUGUGGCAAGAGUCGAUGGAUAUAGUCAUGCUGGUCAUGCAAUUGAGGUACACAUGUAGUUUAUUUCACACAUGACUUUGAUGGAUACAUUUUUUCUCAUUUUUUGAUAUGUCAUCAUCUUAUGUUUGGUUUGUAAUGCAAUUAUUGUAGAACCAUAUAGCUUUUAC
rnacentral:lncRNA from 1 species